rnacentral:lncRNA from 1 species
UGUUUCGUUUUCGGGGUUCCUAAAGAUUUGCUUGGAUUUCCAAAAUUUAUUGAAAAAAUUAAUUCUAAAACAUAGGAUUUGUUUUACAUUCUGUCCUAUUCCAUACAAAUUCUAGUAUUUUUCAUAUUAGAAUUACAUCUAAGGAGAUUGGUUUUGGGGGAGCAAGUAAGAGAUACCGGGGCUUCUUGAAGAUGAUGAAAAUGAACAGAAUCUAUUUAUUGAGGAGUUUCUGCUCACCGUAGUGUAUGGAUUAAUGGUUACAUUUAACCAUAAAUCCAUUAAUAUGUGAUUUCUUAAAUCUUCCUUUUCUUCAUGUAAGUUUUGUUAGAGGACACAGUCACUGCUAGGUGUUGAUUUUCCCACACCAGCUCCUCUCGCUGGGCAUGAGUGGAUGCAUACAGCAAGAGGAUAAAUCAGGAAUAAUGACUCUCACAGGGCAUGAGUAGAUGCAUACAGCAAGAGGAUAAAUCAGGAAUAAUGAAAGACCAUACAACAACAACAACACCACCACCUCCAUAUUUCCAUAAUCUCAGCAUAGAAGAGAAGAGUGUAGAAAGCAUCUGAUGACCUGGAACCUACCAAGAUGAAAACCAUGAGAAAGUGUCCAAGAGUUGUGUAGGUUUAAGUAUAUAUCGACACUUCCCCUUUGCAAAAACCAAGGAUAAGUUCUUCUCAAUAUAUUAUCCUCCCAAAACUCACCCCCCACCGCCAAAAAAAAAAAAAUUAUAAAACACCAGUGAAAACACUUUCUAUUGCUUUAAAAAGCUAGGAACAGACUGUAUAAUUGUGGCUUGACUUGGUCCUUCUUGCUGAUUGCAACAACAUGGACACACACACACUGUUUGGACUUCAGAAACAUGUGGCACAGAACACAAACUCUCACUUGUAGGAAUAGUCAUCAGACUUUCCCUGAGAAUAAAAAUUAGUGACACAAAGUGAAUCAUACCUUUAAAAUUGCCUUUCAAGUAAUCAGACAAAAAAAUAAAAAAUAAUAAAAAAAAGAGAUUGUGCUGAGUCACUCAGAACUAGAAAUAAAUUUCGGGACAACUUUUACAGGCUCAGAGAACUGGCUUCUUUUCUUAUCUUCAAGGCAGUUUCAGCUGAACUAAAACCAGUGCUGGCAUUCAGAACACAGUUUAAGAAGAUAUAAAGAAACGAAGCAUGCUAAAAAAAAAAAAGCGUCUUAUGCCUAUAAAUCUAUCAUUUUAGGGUCAUACGUUGACAAGUGGGUGGGUCAGAAUCGGCAAAACUUGAUUCAAGUACACUACUGAAGAGGCCUGCUGGUUUGUGGUUCCUUUCCCCCAUUGCACUCCUUCCUGUGACUUCUUUUAUAUUUAUUUUAGGUUAUGUU